GGACAUAAAGAUGACCUUGACACAGGCACUGACUCUUUCUUCUUUGUAGUAAGUGCUACAUGUUGGGGUAAUUUUGGUGUUC
rnacentral:pre_miRNA from 1 species